rnacentral:rRNA from 1 species
CCGGGAUGGACAUACCUCUGGUGUACCAGUUGUCGUGCCAACGGCAUAGCUGGGUAGCUAUGUGUGGACGGGAUAAGUGCUGAAAGCAUCUAAGCAUGAAGCCCCCCUCAAGAUGAGAUUUCCCAACUUCGGUUAUAAGAUCCCUCAAAGAUGAUGAGGUUAAUAGGUUCGAGGUGGAAGCAUGGUGACAUGUGGAGCUGACGAAUACUAAUCGAUCGAAGACUUAAUCAAAA